GCGGCUACUGCUAUCAGGUUUCGACUAAGCCAUGCGAGUCAAGGGGUCGUAAGACACCGGCGUACUGCUCAGUAACACGCGGACAAUCUACCCCCAGGUGGAGGAUAACCUCGGGAAACUGAGGCUAAUACCCCAUAGUUGUCAUGUGCUGGAACGCUUUGACGAUGAAAGAAUUUCGCCUGAGGAUGAGUCUGCGGCCUAUCAGGUAGUAUGUGGUGUAAAGGACCACAUAGCCUAAGACGGGUACGGGCCUUGAAAGAGGGAGCCCGGAGAUGGACUCUGAGACACUAGUCCAGGCCCUACGGGGCGCAGCAGGCGCGAAAACUGUGCAAUGCGCGCAAGCGCGACACGGGAAGCCUGAGUGCCUUAACUAUGUUAAGGCUUUUCUUGAUCCUAAAAAGCUCAAGGAAUAAGAGCUGGGUAAGACGGGUGCCAGCCGCCGCGGUAACACCCGCGGCUCGAGUGGUAGUCACUUUUAUUGAGCCUAAAGCGUUUGUAGCCGGAUUUGUAAAUCUCUAGGAAAAUACUUCUGCUUAACUGAAGAAAUUUUGGAGAGACUGCAAAUCUAGGGACCGGGUGAGGUUGAAUGUACUUCUGGGGUAGGGGUAAAAUCCUGUAAUCCUGGAAGGACGACCGGUGGCGAAGGCGUUCAACUAGAACGGAUCCGACGGUGAGGAACGAAGGCUAGGGGAGCAAACCGGAUUAGAUACCCGGGUAGUCCUAGCUGUAAACACUGCCCACUUGGUGUUGCAUCUCCGGUAAGGGGGUGCAGUGCCGUAGCGAAGGUGUUAAGUGGGCCGCUUGGGGAGUAUGGUCGCAAGGCUGAAACUUAA
rnacentral:rRNA from 1 species